rnacentral:rRNA from 1 species
UCCUACGGGGGGCAGCAGUGGGGAGUAUUGGGCAAUGGGCGCAAGCCUGACCCAGCAACGCCGCGUGAGGGAAGAAGGUCUUCGGAUUGUAAACCUCUGUCCUAUGGGACGAAACAAAUGACGGUACCAUAGGAGGAAGCUCCGGCUAACUACGUGCCAGCAGCCGCGGUAAUACGUAGGGAGCGAGCGUUGUCCGGAAUUACUGGGCGUAAAGGGUGCGUAGGCGGCUUGGCAAGUCAGAUGUGAAAUCCCCGGGCUUAACCCGGGGGGUGCAUUUGAAACUGCUGAGCUUGAGUGCAGGAGAGGAAAGCGGAAUUCCUAGUGUAGCGGUGAAAUGCGUAGAUAUUAGGAAGAACACCAGUGGCGAAGGCGGCUUUCUGGACUGCAACUGACGCUGAUGCACGAAAGCGUGGGGAGCAAACAGGAUUAGAAACCCGUGUAGUCCU